GCUGAAGAAUUUACUUUAGAUACUGGAAAAGUCAGUCAGUGGAGGUUGAGCAGUGAAUGACGUGAGAUUGACUCGUGAACAUUUCUCAGAAAACUUGAACAAAUUUAACCUUGAGGUGAAGAAAGUAUCUCGUAUGAUACCUAUGUAAAAUGCGGUUGAAUUCAACUUCAAACUAGUUUUUCAAUGUAUGAAAACAUGGAACAGAGAAUUUAGUCUGAUCGUUAUAGGUACCUGUACCCAUAUAAUUAUAGUGAUUAAAUUCGCGAAUCGCGAUUUCGAGGCCCUCGCUACAUUGAAUUUAUCUUCGCUUUCCAUUUAACGUGCAAUGACUUGACGUAUAAAUUCGAUGUGUGAAGUGUAGGGUGUAGGCGUGCGAAUGCACUGACUUGUUUUGCAUUGUAAUGUUUCGUAGUCCUAACAUGAUUUCAAUUCUACUUAUACGUAUUAUUCAGUUUCUUCAGUUCAAUUGAAUAGGAAUCGAAGAGGCAUUUGUAUAAAAUAUGCUGAGUAAUCAGAUGUCGACAUUCGACACUCGACAGCUCAAAAAUUACGCAUACUCAACAAAAAAAAAGUUAUGCCUAUGUAUUCUGGUUACACUUCUGUGGGAGGUGAGGGGAGAGGGUAUCGAAUGAAAAAAUUAUGUUUAGGUAACAGAAGCGUUGAAAUUUUGGAUUUCUAUUUCAUUUUCAGAUUCAGAAAAGAUCGGUGUGUUUUUGUAUGGUUGUAACGAGCUGUGAAUGAAUUUCCAAUAGAUUAUGCUGUUUAUCGUGUUGGAUUACAAACUACAUACAUUACAUACUUAUAUGCAUCAUUAUAUUAUCUGAAAAUUUACAACCUAAAAACAAAGAUUGUGUUGAAAGAAAUUAUCAGUUUAUUCUUUACACGUUUUCACCCAAUCUUUUCAGAAUUGUUUGGAGAUGGGUGUAUUCGUUAGUGUUUAUUAAAAAUUCAUUCGUUAAUUGACGCUUUGAUAACUGAAUCAGGCCAGAAGUGAAUUAGGUAUUAUGGCAUAACGUGAAUUGUCGGUUUAUUGACUCGUCCACUCUUUCAAUUUCGGUUACUGUAAAUUAACGAUGGUUGAAGAAUAAAGAUCUUCAAGUAGUACAGUACAGCAAACACCAUACAAAGUAUUGGAUGUUACGAAACGCAAAACAAACUACUGGAGAAGUGGGAAAGCCAGCAUUUAGAAGAACUAGAAUAUUUUCCUACGGAUAUAUUGGGUAAAUAUGAUAUAAUUCAUCGAAUUAUCUAUAACAGUACAUAUGUGAUAAUUAAUCAUAGAACAUACCCAAGUACGUAAUGAAAUAAACACCUCUGUAGAACACGGUCAAGUUUCCAAUCGAAAGGCUGAAAGGUGGCGAUUAACUGUAGAUUUCAGUCAUCCAGAUUUAAACUCGAUUACUCAAGCAAUAAGGUUACUUUUUCAUCGAAACUUUUUAAUGAAAUAAUUUCCAAUUUACAAACGUCAUUCAUAAAAUUCACGAAAAUAAUGAUGAGAAAUUGAGAAUCAUUGAAGUGGUCGAUGAUGUUCUGAGUGGGAAAGCUCAAAAAGUUUUACAAUGUUGGAUUUGUAGAGAAAAAAAUACUUCUGAUACAAUAACACUGUUGCCUCCUCGAUGAAUGAAAUGAAAAUAUAAAAGUAAAACUUGGAACAAAUUCAAAAUUCGAAAAUUCGGCGGUCUGCAGAAAAAUAUAAAUAAAUAACAAGUAAAAACGAAAACAAUUUAGCACGUAGGAAGGGAAAAAUAGAGAAUCAUUUUAAACACAAUCAUCUAGCUCAUGACCGUGAUCAUGACCUUUUCUUAGAAUCGGAACUAUGCGACAUACGUCCAUACGAUGAACGAUGAUACAUUUUGUUACUCGGAAACUGCUGUUUUCAGUAGCAAUAGCAAAUCGACACGCCUUGUAUUAUUUAACACUAUUACGUGCAAAUUUCAAGAAUUCAAUCAUGCCUAAAAUUACUCAAUCAACAUCAACAGAAGAAUAAAAACAAAAAUAAUACUUUAUUCGACAGCUAAAAUGAAAUAAUCUUAAAUGGAUAAAAAACAUAACUGCAGAGAAAAGUAACGCAUAAAUAAAAUAAUACAUAUAAUGACGAAAUCGCUUCAUAGUGAUAUUAACAAAUUUUGCUCCGCAAUAGGUUGCUUGUAUUCUUCUUUACGAAGAGCAUUUCCCGAUUGUAAAUCAUUUUUUCUUUGGUGUCUCCAUAAAUUGCGAUCGCUCAGUACGGGUCGCCCAAAAGCCGUGUGCAUAUCUUUGAAACUUAUUUUAUUACGUUGAUUAGGCAGAUUGUGAUGAGAAUUCGGAUUAUUAUUUCCAUGCGACGAGGAUUGCACCAUAUUUGGAGAUUUGAUUUUCGAUGUAGGGAUACAAUGAGCUGACUGAGAUUGGGCUAAUUUUUGUUGCCUAUGACGAGGUGGCGGAUGAGGGGAUGAAUUGGCACUUUGCUGAGGCGUUCUGGAACUAGAAGUUAAACUAUUCAAUUUCUCCUCGCUAGUACUAUGAAUAUAAGACUCCGCGAUUGAGUUGGGCUGAUCUGAAUCGUUUAUUUUUUCAUUACAUUUAUGACUUCUUGUUUCUGAAACACAAUCAAAUCGAAAUUCAAUUUACAAACAUAUUUCAAAAAUUCAGAUAGUAAUCCUCAGCCUUAGCCAAGUGCUCAAAAACCUUCAUCAAUAUAUUAUACCUUUCAAUUGCCUUUGCAAUUCGGUAACCAUAGAUUUCAUGUAAUCAUAACUAGAACAAGCGAGACUUUUCAUCCAUUGCUCCAUGGAUUCUUGAUUAUCGGCACAUAACACAUAAGUUCGAUUUC